rnacentral:rRNA from 1 species
CAUAAAUGAUUCCUGCGAGUUGUGGUAUCUGGCGAGGUUAAGCAAACGCGAAGCCGUAGCGAAAGCGAGUCUGAAAGGGCGCUUAGUCAGAUGCUGCAGACCCGAAGCUGAGUGAUCUAUCCAUGGCCAAGUUGAAGCGAGUGUAAUAGCUCGUGGAGGACUGAACUCGUACCCAUUGAAACGGGUUGGGAUGAGCUGUGGAUAGGGGUGAAAGGCCAAACAAACUCAGUGAUAGCUGGUUCUCUCCGAAAUAUAUUUAGGUAUAGCCUCAAGUGAUAGUAAUAGGGGGUAGAGCUCUGAUUGGGCUAGGGCUGCUCACCGCGGUACCAAACCCUGUCAAACUUCGAAUACCUAUUACCGUAUCUUGGGAGUCAGGCGGUGGGUGAUAAAAUCAAUCGUCAAGAGGGGAACAACCCAGACUACCAAAUAAGGUCCCAAAGUUCUAUUCUGAGUGGAAAAAGAUGUACAGUUACUUAGACAACCAGGAGGUUGGCUUAGAAGCAGCCAUCCUUUAAAGAAAGCGUAACAGCUCACUGGUCUAGUGAUUGCGCGCUGAAAAUAUAACGGGGCUAAGAUAGACACCGAAUUUGUAGAUUGUACUUUGUACAGUGGUAGGAGAGCGUUCGUAUCUGCGUUGAAGGUAUACCGGUAAGGAGUGCUGGAGCGAUGCGAAGUGAGCAUGCAGGAAUGAGUAGCGAUAAAAUAUGUGAGAAUCAUAUUCGCCGUAAGUCUAAGGUUUCCUACGCGAUGCUCGUCAUCGUAG